GAGUUUGAUCGUGGCUCAGGAUGAACGCUGGCGGCGUGCCUAAUACAUGCAAGUCGAGCGAACAGACGGGGAGCUUGCUCCCCUGACGUUAGCGGCGGACGCGUGAGUAACACGUGGGUAACCUACCUAUAAGACUGGAAUAACUCCGGGAAACCGGGGCUAAUGCCGGAUAACAUGUUGGACCGCAUGGUCCUACAGUGAAAGACGGUCUUGCUGUCACUUAUAGGUGGACCCGCGCCGUAUUAGCUAGUUGGUAAGGUAACGGCUUACCAAGGCAACGAUACGUAGCCGACCUGAGGGGGUGAUCGGCCACACUGGAACUGAGACACGGUCCAGACUCCUACGGGAGGCAGCAGUAGGGGAUCUUCCGCAAUGGGUGAAAGCCUGACGGAGCAACGCCGCGUGAGUGAUGAAGGCC
rnacentral:rRNA from 1 species